ACUUUGAAAUGAGUUUGUUAUGCCGCCAACUCAGACCGCGAAUUUAUUCCAAUGUGAACGAGAAGUUUUUCGUGUUUUUUCUUCUUGUUAAUUUAUUUUCGAUAGAAAUUAAAAUGAACGUGCAAAACAAGUAACGAACAGUAUAUAUAUUUAACAGAAUACAUGGAGACUAAUGGAGAUUUAUCCAGGCCCGUUGGUGGUGCCCAAGGGCGCCUUCGAUCUGAAAGGCUAUGGGACACCCUGACCCAUAGCCUUAAUGCCAUAGGCAAUGGCUCAACAAAAACAACCAAAAAGUGGAAAAAAGUUUGGGCAGAUCUAAAGUCAAAAACUAAGAAGAAGGGGCUUAGAAUCCGCCUA